UCCUAAAAGGUUGAACCAAAGAAUCAAAGCGGAGCUACGUUUUUGUUAGAGGAAACAGAGUUUGGACAUUUUCUCCGCAUAUUUCUGACUGUAAAACAACAAUGUUCAACCCCAGAUUGUUUCCGCUGGUUCUGGUGCUGACCGGAGUUCUGUGUUCUCCUGUAAAGGGAAGACCUCUGCUCCAAGUAAACAACGCAGAGGAACACUCCAACGUCACACUGACACUGUCUGCAUUUAACACAAUCUCUGACGUUGUGUCCAUUGAGCUGAGAAACGAAAGCAACAUUUGUAUUUAUCGGUACCUCAACACAUCUCCGACUGAGCCGCACGUAGAUGCUGAGUUCAAAGGUCGACUGCAGUGUGAUCCUCAUCUCGACGGGAGCGGACAGAUUAAAUGUGUCCUGACUGACCUGAGGAUGAACGACACGGGAAGUUAUAAGGGAAUCGUUAAAGUUCGUGGAAAAGCUGGUGAAAGACCGUGUAAUACAACAUGGCAGCUUGAAGUUGUCAAAGAUCUUCAGGAAGAGAUCCCCGAAGAAGACCCAGAAUAUUCUGGGACUAUAUGGACUAUACGUCUGGUCUGGAACACCUGGAGGUUCCCCAGAAGGAGCCGGUGGAUGUCGCAGGGCAGAGGGACGGCUGGGUUUCUCUCCUGGAUCUCAGAUAAAGUUCAAACAUCUUAAACAGAUCAGGUAUUCACCUUGAAUUUACAGAACCAGCCUUCUUUCUUAACCACAUGUUAGGGAAGCUGUUGCUCGUUCAGACUUACUCUGCAUCGCUGACAUGGAUCACAUCGUGUUUAGCGAAGGCUGGUUUGGCAAUGACAACGUUAAUCUUGGGUGUGAGCCUGCAGCCCAGUGCCACAGUGACACCAAGGCUAAUGGAGGAAGGAUGUGGUUAUGAGCUUGUAGUUCGAGGACAACAGAUUUGAACAAAAGACCAGCCAGAUGAUGGAGGAAGUGUACGUUAUACUGAAGGAAAUAAACUGCAGGAAUGUGUCAAGAAAUUAGAACUUUUUAUUUUGUCAUUUUGUCAUUAUAACCUUUUAACCAUUUAAUCUAGUUGUUUCUGUUUGCUCCCUAUGAUGUUUUCUUCGCGCCAUCAUCCCUAAAAACUGUAAGUAAAACCCAUAAAAACAGGAAUGAUCCCAGUUUUCCUCACCUGA